AGGGAUGGGAAAUGAGAAAUGUACUCAGUCACUAAAGAGUGGUUUCAGAGGCUUUAUAGGUACGCAGUGCUGAAGAGACGAAUAGCACACUUUACUCAAGUCGGGUUUUCUCUGGUUAAUUACAGUAGAACGCUAUGGUGUCAGGAGCCACCGAGGCAGUCGUAGAUGACUGACCCCACUUAAUCCAAACCACAGGACUGACAAAUGAUUAAUUCCGGUCGUCAGAUGAUUAGCCCUAUUCAUGGGGUCACAACCUUGCCUGCCACUAACUUGCACCUAAACUCCUCAGGAAAGGUAAGGAGACUUGAAGGAGCCAUUUUUUAAGGCCAAUUCAGUGCAACUGCAACAGACCCUGUAUUCUGUGCAUGCCUUCUCUGAGGAGUCCGAUUUCCAGUUUUAGUUAAAUUAGUUUCAUAUCAGUCAAUACUUGUUUAAAAACAUGUCAUAAGUCUCUGUGGCUUGUGCAUGCUUCAAUUACUUCUGAUUAUUACAUCAAGAUUCGCAAACAAGAUACCAGAGUCACUCUUAUUUACUGCAAAAUGCUAUUGAAACAAACUGAAAUUCAAUUUCAGAACAGAUUGCAGUAACCCAUCAAAACAGAGCAAGUGGAGAGGAAGUUGGGCCUGGAGGUGUGCUGGGCCAUUGUUAAAUGCAGGACAGCAUCUCACCUAAUAAUUUAAACAUGGUCUUGUGGCCUGACAUUUUUAAUGCUUUCUUGAUCUCUUUCUUCUGGCUCUUGUGUGUUCUUUGCCACUGUGGGGUGCAGUGAGUUGCAGGUUAUGGAUUAAAUAUCAAGCCCUCCUCUGCCAAUAGCACUUUUAGGAGGGGAAAAAUGAUUGGGUACUUUUAUAAAUAGUCACGCCAUAGGUGUCCACAGAAAGCAGUGUUUAUGCAGGGCUUUUAAAAGCUGCCUGCCUUUUAGACACAAACCAAUCCAUAAAAAUGCCAAGUUCAAAUUUUCAGCUAUUAUCUGGGCAAUACAUCUCAGGCACCUUGGUAGGCUGAUUGGACAUUUUUGUCGGCGCACAUUAAGAUCCCAGCCUUAACUAAUGCAAUCUGGUUCUAAAAAUUAAUUUAACUUACACAAAUGCCCUGAUAGGCAGCCCAUGGUUCUCAUUUAUUUAGCAAUUCAUUGCAUUUGGAAUAAACUAGAGGGUUAAGAAUUCUACGCUUGAGGCAGCUCUGACUCUGAAGAACAGAAACAUACACAGAUUUCUCCCAUCAUUUGUUGCUUCAGGGCAAGAGAAAAGAAAGCCACUGUAAUUUGGAGACAAGACUUUUCCAGACAACUACGAACAACAGCAACCAUAGCGCGCCACUAAACAGAGCUGUGUUGUGGAGACUUGGAGAGCAGUAAGACAUCUGUGGGGUACAUAGAGUAGAUGCAAAUAGAAUCUUCAAAAGAGUGUCGGCAUGAAUUCUAGAGAAAACUGAGUGCUUGCAAACUCACUUAUAAUAAACAUUUAAAACAUGGGUCAAAAAGUGUUUCCUGGAAUUAGAGAGUCAAUUAAAUGGAGACAAAAUUUAGAAGAUACGUAUAUAUCUAUAUAUCUUGUCUCUCUCUCUCUGUCUCUCUCUCUCUCUCCCUCUCUCUCUCUCUCUCUACACACACACACACACACACACACACACACACACACACACACAUAUCUAUCUUAUAUAUAUAGUCACACA